rnacentral:tRNA from 1 species
GGCCAGGUGGCUCAGGAGGUUAGAGCGUUGUCCUGACAUGGCAAGAUUGUGGAUUCAAUCCCUGGUCA